GACGAACGCUGGCGGCGUGCUUAACACAUGCAAGUCGCGCGAGAAAGUGGGGGCAACUCCAUGAGUACAGCGGCGCACGGGUGAGUAAUACGUAGGUAACCUACCCUUGAGACCGGGAUAACCUUCCGAAAGGAGGGCUAAUACUGGAUAAGACCACGGGGCCUAGGCUCUGUGGUUAAAGGUGGCCUCUGCUCGCAAGCUACCACUCGAAGAUGGGCCUGCGCACCAUUAGCAGUUGGCGAGGUAACGGCUCACCAAGCGAAGAUGGUUAGCUGAUCUGAGAGGAUGAUCAGCCACACUGGGACUGAGACACGGCCCAGACUCCUACGGGAGGCAGCAGUGGGGGAUAUUGCGCAAUGGGCGAAAGCCUGACGCAGCGACGCCGCGUGGGUGAUGAAGGCCUU
rnacentral:rRNA from 1 species